rnacentral:rRNA from 1 species
AGAAUGAACGCUGGCGGCGUGGUUAAGACAUGCAAGUCGAACGGGACUCAUUGAAGCGCAAGUGGAUAUGAGUUCAGUGGCGAACGGGUGCGUAACACGUGAACAAUCUACCUCCGAGUGGGGAAUAGCUCGCCGAAAGGCGAAUUAAUACCCCAUACGGUCGAGGUCCUCCUGGAUCUCGUACCAAAGUCAGGGACCGCAAGGCCUGAUGCUUGGAGAGGAGUUCGCGGCCUAUCAGCUAGUUGGCGAGGUAACGGCUCACCAAGGCUAAGACGGGUAGC